UACGUAGGUCCCGAGCGUUGUCCGGAUUUAUUGGGCGUAAAGCGAGCGCAGGUGGUUUAUUAAGUCUGGUGUAAAAGGCAGUGGCUCAACCAUUGUAUGCAUUGGAAACUGGUAGACUUGAGUGCAGGAGAGGAGAGUGGAAUUCCAUGUGUAGCGGUGAAGUGCGUAGAUAUAUGGAGGAGCACCGGUGGCGAAAGCGGCUCUCUGGCCUGUAACUGACACUGAGGCUCGAAAGCGUGGGGAGCAAACAGG
rnacentral:rRNA from 1 species